CCUUUCAUCAUAGCAACUGCACUUUCUUCAACUUGAUCCCUUAUUAAGUGUUAUCUUCAUUAUUAUUUUUAUUAUCUUUGUAAGAGUAUACAUCGCCAUGAGUACUAUAUCCUCCUAACACUUACAUUCUCCCUUUUCACUUUUCAGACGCCGCGAUUUAUCGCAUUCGAAUUUAGAGAAAGAGGAGCAUCGGAUUCGUUGC